CUCUCUUAAUGAGGCCUUCUUCAUGGACUGUUUCCUAGGUGGAUUAAAGGUAGAAAUCCAAUUGGGGGUGCAGGAGCUUAAACCAAGGGACCUUAAGGAGUUAAUCAGAUUAUCUAGGGUUGAAGAAGCAAAAUUAGAAGCAUGACUUAAGAGAAGUAGGGGGUUCAAUAGAAUGUCUGCAAAUGUUUUUACUCCUAAAAUUAUUUUUAC
rnacentral:lncRNA from 1 species